rnacentral:rRNA from 1 species
ACGUAGGUGGCGAGCGUUAUCCGGAUUUAUUGGGCGUAAAGGGUGCGCAGACGGUUUAUUAAGUCUAAAAUCAAAUCUUGGGGCUCAACCCCAUUCCGUUUUAGAAACUGGUAGACUUGAGUAUGGUAGAGGCAAAUGGAAUUCCUAGUGUAGCGGUGGAAUGCGUAGAUAUUAGGAGGAACACCAGUGGCGAAGGCGAUUUGCUGGGCCAUUACUGACGUUCAGGCACGAAAGCGUGGGGAGCAAAUAG